rnacentral:tRNA from 7 species
GCCGAGGUGGCGGAAUUGGUAGACGCGCUGGACUCAAAAUCCAGUGGUAGAGAUAUCGUGCGGGUUCGAUUCCCGCCCUCGGCACCA